rnacentral:rRNA from 1 species
GAUGAACGCUGGCGGCGUGCCUAAUACAUGCAAGUCGAGCGAACGGACGAGAAGCUUGCUUCUCUGAUGUUAGCGGCGGACGGGUGAGUAACACGUGGAUAACCUACCUAUAAGACUGGGAUAACUUCGGGAAACCGGAGCUAAUACCGGAUAAUAUUUUGAACCGCAUGGUUCAAAAGUGAAAGACGGUCUUGCCGUCACUUAUAGAUGGAUCCGCGCUGCAUUAGCUAGUUGGUAAGGUAACGGCUUACCAAGGCAACGAUGCAUAGCCGACCUGAGAGGGUGAUCGGCCACACUGGAACUGAGACACGGUCCAGAAUCCUACGGGAGGCGGCAGUAGGGAAUCUUCCGCAAUGGGCGAAAGCCUGACGGAGCAACGCCGCGUGAGUGAUGAAGGUCUUCGGAUCGUAAAACUCUGUUAUUAGGGAAGAACAUAUGUGUAAGUAACUGUGCACAUCUUGACGGUACCUAAUCAGAAAGCCACGGCUAACUACGUG